rnacentral:rRNA from 1 species
UACGGGGGGAGCAAGCGUUGUUCGGAUUUACUGGGCGUAAAGGGCGCGUAGGCGGUCAGUGCAAGUCAGUUGUGAAAUCUCUGGGCUUAACCCAGAACGGUCAACUGAUACUGCUCGACUAGAGUGCAGAAGGGGCAACUGGAAUUCUCGGUGUAGCGGUGAAAUGCGUAGAUAUCGAGAGGAACCCCUGCGGCGAAGGCGGGUUGCUGGGCUGCAACUGACGCUGAGGCGCGAAAGCUAGGGGAGCGAACGGG